AUUGAACGCUGGCGGCAGGCCUAACACAUGCAAGUCGAACGAGUGGCGGACGGGUGAGUACUGUCUGGGAAACUGCCUGAUGGAUGGGGAUAACUACUGGAAACGGUAGCUAAUACCGCAUACCAUCGGAUGUGCCCAGAUGGGAGUAGCUUGUUGGUGGGGUAACGGCUCACCAAGGCGACGAUCCCUAGCUGGUCUGCGAGGAAGACCAGCAACACUGGAACUGAGACACGGGCCAGACUCCGACGGGAGGCAGCAGUGGGGAAUAUUGGACAAUGGGAGCAAGCCUGAUGCAGCCAGGCAGCGUGUAUGAAGAAGGCCUUCGGGUUGUAAAGUACUUUCCGCGGGGAGGCGUUACCCGCAGAAGAAGCACCGGCGAACUCCGUGCCAGCCGCCGCGGUAAUUC
rnacentral:rRNA from 1 species